rnacentral:rRNA from 1 species
AGUGAACGCUGGCGGUAUGCCUAACACAUGCAAGUCGAACGGCAGCACAGUAAUAGCUUGCUCUUACGGUUGGCGAGUGGCGGACGGGUGAGGAAUACAUCGGAAUCUACUUUUUCGUGGGGGAUAACGUAGGGAAACUUACGCUAAUACCGCAUACGACCUACGGGUGAAAGCAGGGGAUCUUCCGACCUUGCGCGAUUGAAUGAGCCGAUGUCGGAUUAGCUAGUUGGCGGGGUACAGGCCCACCAAGGCGACGAUCCGUAGCUGGUCUGAGAGGAUGAUCAGCCACACUGGAACUGAGACACGGUCCAGACUCCUACGGGAGGCAGCAGUGGGGAAUAUUGGACAAUGGGCGCAAGCCUGAUCCAGCCAUACCGCGUGGGUGAAGAAGGCCUUCGGGUUGUAAAGCCCUUUUGUUGGGAAAGAAAAGCAGCAGGUUAAUACCCCGCUGUUCUGACGGUACCCAAAGAAUAAGCACCGGCUAACUUCGUG